rnacentral:rRNA from 1 species
GAUGAACGCUGGCGGCGUGCCUAAUACAUGCAAGUCGAGCGAACGGACGAGAAGCUUGCUUCUCUGAUGUUAGCGGCGGACGGGUGAGUAACACGUGGAUAACCUACCUAUAAGACUGGGAUAACUUCGGGAAACCGGAGCUAAUACCGGAUGAUAUUUUGAACCGCAUGGUUCAAAAGUGAAAGACGGUCUUGCUGUCACUUAUAGAUGGAUCCGCGCUGCAUUAGCUAGUUGGUAAGGUAACGGCUUACCAAGGCAACGAUGCAUAGCCGACCUGAGAGGGUGAUCGGCCACACUGGAACUGAGACACGGUCCAGACUCCUACGGGAGGCAGCAGUAGGGAAUCUUCCGCAAUGGGCUAAAGCCUGACGGAGCAACGCCGCGUGAGUGAUGAAGGUCUUCGGAUCGUAAAACUCUGUUAUUAGGGAAGAACAUAUGUGUAAGUAACUGUGCACAUCUUGACGGUACCUAAUCAGAAAGCCACGGCUAACUACGU